GUCGAGCGGUAGCACAGAGAGCUUGCUCUCGGGUGACGAGCGGCGGACGGGUGAGUAAUGUCUGGGAAACUGCCUGAUGGAGGGGGAUAACUACUGGAAACGGUAGCUAAUACCGCAUAACGUCGCAAGACCAAAGUGGGGGACCUUCGGGCCUCAUGCCAUCAGAUGUGCCCAGAUGGGAUUAGCUAGUAGGUGGGGUAACGGCUCACCUAGGCGACGAUCCCUAGCUGGUCUGAGAGGAUGACCAGCCACACUGGAACUGAGACACGGUCCAGACUCCUACGGGAGGCAGCAGUGGGGAAUAUUGCACAAUGGGCGCAAGCCUGAUGCAGCCAUGCCGCGUGUGUGAAGAAGGCCUUCGGGUUGUAAAGCACUUUCAGCGGGGAGGAAGGCGAUAAGGUUAAUAACCUUGUCGAUUGACGUUACCCGCAGAAGAAGCACCGGCUAACUCCGUGCCAGCAGCCGCGGUAAUACGGAGGGUGCAAGCGUUAAUCGGAAUUACUGGGCGUAAAGCGCACGCAGGCGGUCUGUCAAGUCGGAUGUGAAAUCCCCGGGCUCAACCUGGGAACUGCAUUCGAAACUGGCAGGCUAGAGUCUUGUAGAGGGGGGUAGAAUUCCAGGUGUAGCGGUGAAAUGCGUAGAGAUCUGGAGGAAUACCGGUGGCGAAGGCGGCCCCCUGGACAAAGACUGACGCUCAGGUGCGAAAGCGUGGGGAGCAAACAGGAUUAGAUACCCUGGUAGUCCACGCCGUAAACGAUGUCGAUUUGGAGGUUGUGCCCUUGAGGCGUGGCUUCCGGAGCUAACGCGUUAAAUCGACCGCCUGGGGAGUACGGCCGCAAGGUUAAAACUCAAAUGAAUUGACGGGGGCCCGCACAAGCGGUGGAGCAUGUGGUUUAAUUCGAUGCAACGCGAAGAACCUUACCUGGUCUUGACAUCCACAGAACUUUCCAGAGAUGGAUUGGUGCCUUCGGGAACUGUGAGACAGGUGCUGCAUGGCUGUCGUCAGCUCGUGUUGUGAAAUGUUGGGUUAAGUCCCGCAACGAGCGCAACCCUUAUCCUUUGUUGCCAGCGGUUCGGCCGGGAACUCAAAGGAGACUGCCAGUGAUAAACUGGAGGAAGGUGGGGAUGACGUCAAGUCAUCAUGGCCCUUACGACCAGGGCUACACACGUGCUACAAUGGCAUAUACAAAGAGAAGCGACCUCGCGAGAGCAAGCGGACCUCAUAAAGUAUGUCGUAGUCCGGAUUGGAGUCUGCAACUCGACUCCAUGAAGUCGGAAUCGCUAGUAAUCGUAGAUCAGAAUGCUACGGUGAAUACGUUCCCGGGCCUUGUACACACCGCCCGUCACACCAUGGGAGUGGGUUGCAAAAGAAGUAGGUAGC
rnacentral:rRNA from 1 species